rnacentral:rRNA from 1 species
GACGAACGCUGGCGGCGUGCUUAACACAUGCAAGUCGAGCGGUAAGGCCCUUUCGGGGGUACACGAGCGGCGAACGGGUGAGUAACACGUGGGUGACCUGCCCUCAGCUCUGGGAUAAGCCUGGGAAACCGGGUCUAAUACUGGAUAUGACUCCAUGACGCAUGUUGUGGGGUGGAAAGCCUUGUGCGGCUGAGGAUGGGCCCGCGGCCUAUCAGCUUGUUGGUGGGGUGANGGCCUACCAAGGCCGACGACGGGUAGCCGGCCUGAGAGGGCGACCGGCCACACUGGGACUGAGACACGGCCCAGGACUCCUACGGGAGGCGAGCAGUGGGGAAUCGUUGCGCAAUGGGCGAAAGCCUGACGCAGCGACGCCGCGUGAGGGAUG